rnacentral:rRNA from 1 species
UACGUAGGGUGCAAGCGUUGUCCGGAAUUAUUGGGCCUAAAGCAUCCGUAGCCGGCCUUACAAGUCCUCCGUUAAAUCCAGCUGCUUAACAGAUGGGCUGCGGAGGAUACUAUAAGACUAGGAGGCAGGAGAGGCAAGCGGUACUCAGUGGGUAGGGGUAAAAUCCGUUGAUCCAUUGAAGACCACCAGUGGCGAAGGCGGCUUGCCAGAAUGCGCUCGACGGUGAGGGAUGAAAGCUGGGGGAGCAAACCGG